rnacentral:tRNA from 1 species
GCCUUGUUAGCGCGUAGGUAGUGCAUCAGUCUCAUAAUCUGAAGUGCGUGAGUUCAAUCCUCACAUAGGGCA